AUACGGAGGGGGCUAGCGUUGUUCGGAAUUACUGGGCGUAAAGCGCGCGUAGGCGGCUUGCCAAGUUGGGGGUGAAAUCCCAGGGCUCAACCCUGGAACUGCCCUCAAAACUGGUUCGCUAGAGUCCGGGAGAGGUGAGUGGAAUUCCCAGUGUAGAGGUGAAAUUCGUAGAUAUUGGGAAGAACACCAGUGGCGAAGGCGGCUCACUGGAACGGUGCUGACGCUGAGGCGCGAAAGCGUGGGGAGCAAACAGGAUUAGAAACCCCGGUAGUCC
rnacentral:rRNA from 1 species